UUUCUCUCACGAGAAGCAGCAGUGGAGAAUUUUCCGCAAUGGGCGAAAGCCUGACGGAGCAAUACCGCGUGAGGGAAGAAGGCUCUUGGCUUGUAAACCUCUUUUCUGAGGGAAGAAAAAAAUGACGGUACCUCAGGAAUCAGCAUCGGCUAACUCCGUGCCAGCAGCCGCGGUAAUACGGAGGAUGCAAGCGUUAUCCGGAAUGAUUGGGCGUAAAGCGUCCGCAGGUGGCAUAUCAAGUUUGCGGUUAAAGGUUCUGGCUCAACCAGAGACAGGCCGUGAAAACUGAUAAGCUAGAGUAUGGUAGGGGCAGAGGGAAUUCCCAGUGUAGCGGUGAAAUGCGUAGAGAUUGGGAAGAACACCGGUGGCGAAAGCGCUCUGCUAGGCCAAAACUGACACUGAGGGACGAAAGCUAGGGGAGCGAAUGGGAUUAGAUACCCCAGUAGUCCUAGCCGUAAACGAUGGAUACUAGGUGUAGCUUGUAUCGACCCAAGCUGUGCCGUAGCUAACGCGUUAAGUUCCCGCCUGGGAGAGCCGACGGGCCA
rnacentral:rRNA from 1 species